rnacentral:rRNA from 1 species
UACGUAGGGUGCGAGCGUUGUCCGGAAUUAUUGGGCGUAAAGGGCUCGUAGGCGGUUUGUCGCGUCGGGAGUGAAAACCCAGGGCUUAACCCUGAGCUUGCGGUCGAUACGGGCAUGACUGGAGUUCGGCAGGGGAGACUGGAAUUCCUGGUGUAGCGGUGAAAUGCGCAGAUAUCAGGAGGAACACCCGUGGCGAAGGCGGCUUCCUGGGGCCAUCCUGACACUGAGAAGCGAAAGCUAGGGGAGCGAACGGG